rnacentral:rRNA from 1 species
CAGGUGGCGAGUGCAAGGGCACAAGGGAGCUUGACUGUGAGACGGACGUGUCGAGCAGGUGCGAAAGCAGGGCCUAGUGAUCCGGCACCUACGUGUGGAAGUGGUGUCGCUCAACGGCUAAAAGGUACCCCGGGGAUAACAGGCUGAUCUUCCCCAAGAGUCCAUAUCGACGGGAUGGUUUGGCACCUCGAUGUCGGCUCGUCGCAUCCUGGGGCUGGAGUAGGUCCCAAGGGUUGGGCUGUUCGCCCAUUAAAGCGGCACGCGAGCUGGGUUUAGAACGUCGCGAGACAGUUCGGUCCCUAUCCGCUGCGCGCGUAGGAGAAUUGUGAGGGUCUGUCCCUAGUACGAGAGGACCGGGACGGACGGACCUCUGGUGUGCCAGUUGUCCCGCCAGGGGCACGGCUGGUUGGCUACGUUCGGUCGGGAUAACCGCUGAAAGCAUCUAAGCGGGAAGCCUUCCUCGAGAUGAGUUCUCCCACCCCUUUGUGGGUGUAAGGCCCCCGGUAGACGACCGGGUUGAUAGGCCGGAGAUGGAAGCGCGGUAACGUGUGGAGUCGACCGGUACUAAUAGGCCGAGUGGCUUGAACACAC